rnacentral:rRNA from 1 species
AACGUAGGAGGCAAGCGUUAUCCGGAAUUAUUGGGCGUAAAGAGCUCGUAGGCGGCUUGUCGCGUCGACUGUGAAGUCCCGCGGCUCAACUGCGGGUCUGCAGUCGAUACGGGCAGGCUAGAGUUCGGUAGGGGAGACUGGAAUUCCUGGUGUAGCGGUGAAAUGUGCAGAUAUCAGGAGGAACACCGGUGGCGAAGGCGGGUCUCUGGGCCGAUACUGACGCUGAGGAGCGAAAGCGUGGGGAGCAAACAGG